GCUUUUUAGGGCUGCACUUGCAGCAUAAGGAGGUUCCCAGGCUAGGGGUCUAAUCAGAGCUAUAGCUGCCAGCCUACACCACAGCCACAGCAACGCCAGAUCCGAGCCGUGUCUGCAACCUACACCACAGCUCACGGCAACACAGGAUCCUUAACCCACUGAGAGAGGCCAGGGAUUGAACCUGGAACCUCACGGUUCCUAGUCGGAUUCGUUUCUGUUGUGCCAGGAUGAGAACUCCAUUUGUGUGAAAUUUUAUCAGUUUGUGGAAUCGACACCCAGGAAAUUGGACAUUAAUACUUCAUUUUCUUCGGUCUCUCCCUUGGGUUUAGUGGGGAAAUUUCUCACAAUAUUGCCCAGAGGACACAGAUGUUCUAUUGCCAGGAUAUAGUCCAAUAUGAUAAGAUAACGGAACUGAAUGAAAAGCAGACAAUUUUCACUGUUUCAAGAACUCAGACAUAGGCCAAACACUCUGACAUAAACGACAGCAACAUCUUCUCAGAUCCACCUCUUAGAGUACUGACAGUAAAAACAAAAAUAAACAAAUGGGACCUAAUCAAACUUAAAAGUUUCUGCACAGCAAAGGAAACCCUAAACAAAACAAAAAGGCAACCCACAGAAUGGGAGAAAAUCUUUGCAAGUGAAUCAACUGACAAGGAAGGGAUUACUCUCCAAAAUUUAUAAACACCUUCUGCAGCUCCAUACCAAAAAAACAAACAACCCCAUCAAAAAAUGGGCAGAAGAUCUAAACAGACAAUUCUCCAAAGAAGACAUACAGAUGGCCUGGAAACACAUGAAAAGAUGCUCAACAUCACUGAUUAUUAGAGAAAUGCAAAUCAAAACCACUCUGAGGUACCACCUUACACCAGCCAGAAUGGCCAUCAUCCAAAAGUCUACAAACAAGAAGAGCUAGAGAGGGUGUGGAGAAAAAGGAACCCUAGUACACUGUUGGUGGGAUUGUAAAUUGGUGCAACCACUGUGGAAAGUAUGGAGAUUCCUCACAAAACUAAACAUAGAACUACCAUUUGAUCCAGUAAUCCCACUCCUGGGUAUCUAUCCAGAGAAAACCAUGACUCGAAAAGACACACGUACUCCAAUGUUCAUUGCAGCUACUAUUUUCAAUAGCCAAGACAUGGAAACAACCUAAAUGUCCAUCGACAGAGGAGUGGAUCCAGAAGAUGUGGUACACAUACACAAUGGAAUAUUAGUCAUUAAAAGGAACAAAAUACCAGCAUUUUUAGCAACAUGGAUGGACCUAGAAACUAUCAUGCUAAGUGAAGUCAGCCAUACAAUGAGACACCAACAUCAAAUGCUUUCACUGACAUGUGGAAUCUGAAAAAAGGACAGACUGAACUUCUUUGCAGAACAGAUGCUGACUCACAGACAUUGAAAAACUUAUGGUCUCUGGGGGAGACAGUUUGGGGGGUUGGGGGAUGUGCUUGGGCUGUGGGAUGGAAAUCCUGUGAAAUCAGAUUGUUAUGAUCAUUAUACAACUACAGAUGUGAUAAAUUCAUUUGAGUAAUAAAAAAAAUAUAUAUAUAUAUAUUAAAAAAAAA
rnacentral:lncRNA from 9 species